UACGGAGGAUGCAAGCGUUAUCCGGAUUUAUUGGGCGUAAAGCGUCCGCAGGUGGCUCUUCAAGUCUGCUGUCAAAGCUCGGAGCUUAACUCCGAAUCGGCGGUGGAAACUGAACAGCUAGAGUGCAGUAGGGGUAGAGGGAAUUCCCAGUGUAGCGGUGAAAUGCGUAGAGAUUGGGAAGAACACCGGUGGCGAAAGCGCUCUACUGGACUGCAACUGACACUCAGGGACGAAAGCUAGGGGAGCGAAUGGG
rnacentral:rRNA from 1 species